rnacentral:rRNA from 1 species
GAUGAACGCUAGCGGCAGGCCUAACACAUGCAAGUCGAGGGGGAAGUUACUUUCGGGUGACUGAGACCGGCGUACGGGUGCGUAACGCGUAUACAAUCUGCCUUUCACUGGGGGAUAGCCCGAAGAAAUUUGGAUUAAUACCCCAUAGUAUAUAGGGACGGCAUCGUUUUUAUAUUAAAGCUUAGGUGGUGUAAGAUGAGUAUGCGUUCUAUUAGCUAGUUGCAGAGGUAACGGCUCCCCAAGGCGAUGAUAGAUAGGGGUUCUGAGAGGGAUGUCCCCCACACUGGUACUGAGAUACGGACCAGACUCCUACGGGAGGCAGCAGUGAGGAAUAUUGGACAAUGGUCGGAAGACUGAUCCAGCCAUGCCGCGUGCAGGAUGAAGGUCUUAUGGAUUGUAAACUGCUUUUGUAAGGGAAGAAUAAGGGCUACGCGUAGUUUGAUGACGGUACCUUACGAAUAAGCAUCGGCUAACUCCGUG